AAACUCCUAAUCUAUAUGAUCAUUAUGUACAAAAUAGAAGCUUAAAACAAUGCAAAUAUGCAAGAUAUCAACUCCCCCAAACUUGUUCUUUACUUGUCCUCAAGUGACUUUGCAAGAACUCAUAAGGGAAAGGGGAAAGAGGUUUGAAGGUGGGAACUCAUAGCCAAAAGUAACAUUUCCUAGUACUCAACUUAACAUCCUAAAGAAACAUAGCAAAUAGCAUGACCAACUCUCUUAUUAUACUCUAGCUUCUCUGGGCCUAUCAAUACUCCUUGUGCCUCUACACAAGUUGCAAUACUCAUCAACCAACAAGUUCUUUAAACCAGCUCUCACAUUGAUUCACACACACACACACAUGGUGAGUUCUCACAAAUGAGCACAUGAUCUCAAUCAUUUG
rnacentral:lncRNA from 1 species